rnacentral:lncRNA from 10 species
AAAGAUUUCUACAGUAAAAGCUGGGGAGGUGUGUAGGGCUCCAGUCUUUGGGUUCACAGCUUGGCUCUACAUUCAUUGCUGGAGGAAUCCAAGCCUCACAAAAGACCGCUUUUAAAGAAAAACUCUAUUUUUCUUAGAAGAACUAGAAUAUGUAACACCAUUGUGAGAAAUAAAACCCCAAGGUGAACAAGAUUGAAAGUGAAGGCAGCGCUCUAAGGAGGAAGCCAGCUGGCUUGAAUGGUGAUGUAAACAGCCUUGGAGCUUUAACCAAACUUGAGUAAGAACUCCCUGACUUGGAAACACUCAAGUUUCCCACACAUGACUGGAUGGCCCUGGCCACACUGGGAACGGAAUGGGGGCCUCCCAUUGGAACUCAGGGUGGAGGGGGAAGCUCGACCAGCUAUUGUGGCCCCCACUUCCAUUGACAAAAAAGAAAACCUGCAGAUUCCAUUGAUCUGGCAUGGAGCUGGAUGUCUUUCAGGAUGAAGAGUUUUCAUUAAAACACAGCCACAACAAAGCAAGAAAAAAGAGCAAUUGAUAUGUGGUGGUGAGACUUGCUCUUGGAUGCUGUCAGGAAGUAUCAUCUGACUGCGUUUGCUACCCUGGGGGAGACAAACAAAACUUGAGUGAAGGAAAAUGAGAACUCACCUGAAACCAAGAAGAGUCUUUGGAAAAGGAUUUUUGUGUAGGUCAUCUGGAAAGUGUUUACUCUUAGCAGUUAUGCAUAACUAUAGUCUUAAGAACAAAGUGAGGUGGGGGUGCGGGUAAGGGUGGGAAUGGGGUAGGGGUAAACGAGUGGGUGGAGACGUGUCUGUGUGUCCAAAAAACUGCCCCAAAGCAAACAUGGCCACGUGCACACAUCUAAACCAAUGUGUCUCUUAAGACUUUAGCCUCCAGUAUACUAUGUAGUCGCUGCAUUCGUUGACUUUCUUGUCUUACUCAGCAAAAGAUGUAGACGAUUUCCACUAUCUUUCCAUAGACCCUCGCUAAAUGACCAGAUGGGAAAAGUCUAUUGCCUGACCAAAUUGCCAGUCAGCCCAUGAGCAGUCCAGACAGUGCAGGAUUUAUAGAAAAGGAAUUUUUAUGAUUUCUUCCUGCCCAACCCCCACUAAGAAGCAAAGGCCCUACUCUUGACCUUGGCAUCCCCUUGUUGCUUUCUUCUCGUCCAUGACACCUAGGCUUGAUAUUCUUUACCUUGGGUAUUCUUGUGAAUAUUUGCUGAAUUUUCAUUUACACCAAAUACAAUUCAGAAGACAGAGGCUUUCCAAGGUAUGAGUGUGUAAGUAUGUUAAAGAAAAGCUCUCAGCUUGUCUCAUGGUUUAAAGUCCUCCUAAGAUAUCUGAGCUGAAUCUAAGGAAUAAAGUAGAUUGGUUCCUCCCUGUCUGAUGAGUUUUAUCAAAAUGUGAUAAAAUGUGGUAAAGAAAAAUGGUGGGCCAACUUCGUUAUAGUUCUACUGAGGGACACUGUACAGGUAAACCAGGCCAUAACUCAUUUGUCCUGUGACAGUUUUUAUUAUUCUGUUUUUAUGCAGUUUUGAAGAGUGAGGGGAAUUGCCCUAGACAACAGAUGUGAGAGACUUUUUUCUUUCUUUCUGUCCUGUGGACAGGCCUCAGGCUCCAGCCCAGUGACUCAUUGUUGUGGUAUUAUAUACCUCAAGAUGAAGUGUGUGCGGUGGAAAGUGUGGGCAGGAUUUAUCAGUGCGACUUCUUCCUUUGAAGUAUCAAGGCAGGCUACUUUGCUGAUGGUUUCUGGAACCUGGCCAAGCCCCAAUAUACUGUGAAAAUAGCUGUCUUAGGUUUUCCUGGCACAUGAGAACAUUUGCACUUGAUUCUCAGACCUCCAUUGCUUUCUGAUGUUUUUGAGGCCAGUGUUCUUGGGAUUUAGGGCUCAGGGCCAGAUUGUAACCCUGCCUGUUUGUACUCCUUCAAAUGCCCCAUCCCAACAUGGUUUUGAUGGCUCCAGAUACAGACUGUAACACCAACUUGAGUUCCAAAGUGCAGGCUGGCUUUAGGUUGCUUUUAAGCAUUCAUGCAUAAAUUUCUCUAUAGCCCACAUUUCCUGCUACCCUGCCCCCACUAACAAAAUGCUGACUCUUAAGGCGUUUUACUGUGACAAUGCUUUCUACGGCAAAGCAUCUUCACAUUUUCAGCUUGAAAGCAAGGCAAUGUGUACGCGGAGAAAAACAUAGGAAUACCAUGAUAACUCUAUCAGUAAAUUGAAAAAAUAGGGCUGGGCAUGAUGGUUUUACACCUGUAAUCCCAGCACUUUGGAGGCCAAGGCCAGUGGAUUACUUGAGGCCAGGAGCUUGAGACCAG